CGCACGGCGGCGAUUCCCGGGCACAGGACCUGCGGGACAGAGUGGGAGACGGCUUCGCCCUCCUCCGUGCGCCGUGCGCCCCCAUCGCCCUCCUCCGUGCUCCCCAUCACCCUCCUCCCUGCUCCCCCGUCGCCCUCCUCCGUGCGCCCCCGUCGCCCUCCUCCCUGCUCCCCGUCGCCCUCCUCCCUGCUCCCCGUCGCCCUCCUCCGUGCGCCCCCGUCGCCCUCCUCCGGGAAGCCGCCGCGGUGCCCUCGCCCCGUGGGCUGCCCUCGCAGCCCAUCUCCUCGCGGCACCACCGCUGGACUUCCAGCCGCCUCACCUCUGUGCAGACGGCGCUUCCCGGAGGGUCAGAGAACUGCAGCUCUCCAGACAAAGGCCGUCGGCGGUUAAGUCCGGAGCACACCGAACUCUGCACGAACACCGUCCCGCCCGGGGGACUUCCGGAAUGCCACCCGGGCCUUCACCCCACUCGUGAAUUGGCUGCUUUCUCAGUUCCCCCAAUCCAUCUACCUUUCACCUUUCUGGCCUUCAUCAGUGGGAAAAUGUACACAGUUCGCCGCGGCCGGGAGGUUUUAACCCUCCUACACCAGGGCUGACUUGAAUCUCCUGUGCCUUCCUCUUUCUUCACGCACUCAGCCCCGGUUCCCGUUCCAUGAGGAGAGGUUCUCUGCCCGGUAGAUUCUCUGCACUCUGGUCUCACGUCAUCCCAGACUCCAUCCCACGCGCUAACACUUGCUUAACUUAAUUAAUUGUUCUUCUAUCUGCUCAGUUUCUUUGUGGUAUCUUCAGAGAGAUCCUGAGCUGUGUGUGUGGGUGUGUGUGCGCAUUCCAUCCUGAAAUUCCAGCGUGGGGCUGGGGUGGGGCUGAGGCUAGCCUGGGCUACGUAUCAAGCUCCAGGCCACCACGAGCUACAUACUAACACUCUCAGAGACUGACCUGUGCCGACCCCAGCACCACACAGCGCUUGCCCUGUACCGCGCUCCCAGCGGGCCCCACUCCCCACUUACCGAGUCUGCAGUUCCGCGGCCCCCUUUCUGUUCUUUUGUCUCACGUUGCUGCUUGAGCCCAAAGAGCACAGUAGGCCAUGCCGGAGCCCAACUCCAGCCCACUGUUCUAUCUGAUUAAUUUAUCUUGAGACAAGGUCUACUGGAGCCUAAGGCUGGCAUUAACUCAUGGUCAUCCGCCUCCAAAGUGCUAGGAUGCCGCUGUGCCCGGCCCUCUCCCAGCACCCACCCUCGCCCUGCCAUUUUCUCUUUUUCUUCUCUCCUCUCCCCCCCCCCCCAACAUUGUCACUUUCUAGCAGCCAGGAUGGAUUUGAACUCGGAUCCUCCUGCUCCUCCUGCUUUGUCCUCCUGAGUACUGAGAUUGUACCUGUGCCGCCCCAGGCCUGGCCUCCACAGCGACCUGACCAAGCACACACGUCUUGGCCGAUACACACCGGAAAAGAGGCAGAACUGUGUUCUCCAGAGGAGAGGCUGAAGGUUGCGGUUCUGUCGUUAGCAACCUCAGAGCAAACCCUGCUUAAUGCAAGACUUCUCGGCGCCCUCUCCUUUCCCGUCUCCUGACAACACUGACCUCUUCCUGCUCAGCCUUUCUGGUGAUGUCAUUGUGCACACACCUGGAAUUGAUUUUUGCUUUUUAAAGAUAGAGUCUUACUCUAUAGCCCCAGCUGUCCUGAAACUUGAUACAUAGAUCAUCAAGGUCACCAGGGUGUCCUAGAACUCACAGAGAUCCUCCUGCCUCUGCCUCCUGAGUGCACACUCAUAGUUCCAGAGUUUUGGAGGAGAAAUAAGAUCCAGGGCUUUAAGCUCAGCCUUGGUCACAUCACCAGUUCAAGACACGCUGGCUUUCGUGUGACCUUGUCUUAAAAACCAAAAAAGUUGGGCCUAGUGAAGCAGCCCCAGCAUUUAGGAGGUAAAUGGGUUCAGGGGUUCAAGUCUAUCUUUAGCUACAGUCAGCUCAAGGCGGGGCUGAUAGGAAACCUUGCCUCAAAAAACAAAGCAAAGCAAAAACAACAAAAACCACGUCAGAAGUGGUGUCAAGAUGGGAAGAAAAUCUAGAACAUUUGUGUCUCUCCUUCCCUCACUUUUUUUUUUCCUUUCAGUUUUUCAGUACAGGGUUUUUCUGUCUAGCCCUGAAACUUGCUCUGUAGACCAGGCUGGUCUCGAAGUCGGAGGUCCACUGCCUCUGCCUCUGGAGUCCUGGGACCAGAGGCCUGUGCUUCCAGGACAUGCCGUUCCGCUGAUGCCCUUCCCCUUCGGCUCAGCCCUUCGGCUCUGGACGUCUCAGUGGUUCCAUCCGUGAAGAAGGUUGUGAAGCCGCCUGCCUUCAGAGCUGGUUGGAAGAGUUCAGCAGGACAGGGAAGAAGGGUUUGUGAGCAAGGGAGUGCGGGACAGAGGGAUGGCGGCCUGGAGAUUGCUUCCCCACAAGGAGAGAUUGUUCCGUGAAGAGACUAAAAGGAGGCGCCGGGCACUGGCCCCAGCAGCGCCGAGCUCUUCAGAGAGACUGUGCAUUUGAGGCCUACCUGGCUUACCGCGCAAGGCCUCAUUAAAAAACAAAGUGACAAUGACUUUUUGUUUAUGUCUUCUCAAUGCUUGUCUGUUUUUGGUUUUUGAGACAGGUUUCACUGUGUAUCUGGAACUCAGAGACCCACCGCCUUGGCCUCCCUCUGCAGGGAUUAAAGGUGUGUGCCACCGUUGCCCCGCUCUCAAAUUUGGUUUGUUCACCCAUUUCUGUUUCUCAGAGUGGACUCAAGUGUUCCAGCUCUGGCCUCAGCGGCUCAGUGACGGCUGUAUGAACCAUGGCAGCCCCAUCGUCUUUCUGUUUAAUUCCAGGUUUAUGUGUGGGACUGUUUUGCCUGCAUGUGUGUCUGUGAAUCGCUUGUGUGCCUCAGGUCUGCACCGGAAGAGCACGUUAGACGGACCAGGGCUGACGUCACAGGCGGUUGUGGGGUAGCGUAUGGGCGCUGGAGUCAAACCCAGGUCCUCGGGGAGUGGCAGACGCUCUCAGCCGCCAGCCGCUGCUCCAGUGCGCUUGAGUGUUUGCUUGUUUUGUUUUUGAGACAGGGUCUUGCUCUAUAGACAUGGGUGUCCGGGAACUCACUCUGUAGACCAGGCUGGCCUCAAACUCAGAGAUCCACCUGCCUCUGCCUCCUGAGCACUGGGGUUAAAGGUGUGUGCCACCAUGCCCGGCUUCAGUCAGCUUUACCAUAAGAAAUCUAUUUAAUUUUACUUUUGGCCUUUUGAGACAAGGUUAUAUGAUGGGGAUCAGACUAGCCUGAGAUUCACUAUCCUCCAGCCUCAGCAUCACGAGGGCUGGGACCGUAGGCAGUAUAUCACCAUCUGCCUGAAGAAGUCAUUUAUUAAAAGCUUUGUUUUUA